UUGAACACACUUUGAUUUUCCGUAGUUCAGUGAAUGCAACAAAAGCACGUUGCUGCAUUAAGCUAGGCAAAACGGAGCAAGACACCGAGAGCAAAUAACAAGCUACACAAGGCCUUUAUGUGUUUUACUCUCGACCAAAACCAGGCAGAGCGUGUAUUUGUUUCUUGGGAAUUCCGACUGGUUUUUUGUGAUCCUGGAUCUGAAGUGGUUCUGGAUAUGGAUGGCGAGCCAGACCCUGUGAAAACUCUUGGCGAAUCCAAAAGCAGUGUGGCCAGCUGUUCUGGAUGCAGGAGUAGAGCUACAGUCUGAAUUACUUCGAAUCGCAGGAUUUCAGAUAAGCAAGAGCAAAAACUGCUUACUUCAUACGGAUUGUUUCUCUGGGAAACUAUUGAACUCCCAAUAUCCUGCUCAUCAGGAGUCAGGU